UACGUAGGGGGCGAGCGUUGUCCGGAUUCAUUGGGCGUAAAGAGCUCGUAGGCGGCUUGUCAAGUCGGGUGUGAAACCUCCAGGCUCAACCUGGAGACGCCACUCGAGACUGUCAUGGCUAGAGUCCGGUAGGGGAUCACGGAAUUCCUGGUGUAGCGGUGAAAUGCGCAGAUAUCAGGAGGAACACCGGUGGCGAAGGCAGCACUCUGGGACGUGACUGACGCUGAGACGCGAAAGCGUGGGGAGCAAACAGG
rnacentral:rRNA from 1 species